rnacentral:lncRNA from 1 species
GGGAUAUUAAAACGCACUAAAACAAACUAACAAGGACUAAACAUGAAAAACGAUCAAAAUACAAACACUAGUACAUAACACAUUGUAAAACACAGCAUAACACACGAAAGACGUAGCAAUACGAACCCAACCAAAUACAUAGGGGACCUCGUUAGACAUUUUAAUACCCAAUAUUUGUCCCUAACUUUGUGACUAUUAAAUUGAAUAUGAUUAUCAAAGAUAAAAACAAUAUAUUCACAUAUGUAAAUUACAAAGACAAGGUGAAGGUUGUUUGAUUUUCAGUACCAAAAAAAAGCAUGAUAUUGUGUGCACCAUUUAUUUCAUUUAACAAUGUUUAAAGACUUCUGUCAUAUUGUCCUCAAACGAUAUCCUCUGAUUAAAUGUUUGUAUCUACAAUAAAC